UACGUAGGAUGCAAGCGUUGUCCGGAUUUAUUGGGCGUAAAGCGAACGUAGGCGGCUUCUUAAGUUUGGUCUUAAAGACCGGGGCUCAACCCCGGGAGUGGACUGAAUACUGGGAGGCUAGAGGACGUCAGAGGAAAGUGGAAUUCCCAGUGUAGCGGUGAAAUGCGUAGAUAUUGGGAGGAACACCAGUGGCGAAAGCGACUUUCUGGGACGUUUCUGACGCUGAGGUUCGAAAGCUCGGGGAGCAAACAGGAUUAGAAACCCCAGUAGUCC
rnacentral:rRNA from 1 species